GAUGAACGCUGGCGGCGUGCCUAAUACAUGCAAGUCGAGCGAACAGAUGAGGAGCUUGCUCCUCUGACGUUAGCGGCGGACGGGUGAAUAACACGUGGAUAACCUACCUAUAAGACUGGGAUAACUUCGGGAAACCGGAGCUAAUACCGGAUAAUAUAUUGAACCGCAUGGUUCAAUAGUGAAAGACGGUUUUGCUGUCACUUAUAGAUGGAUCCGCGCCGCAUUAGCUAGUUGGUAAGGUAACGGCUUACCAAGGCAACGAUGCGUAGCCGACCUGAGAGGGUGAUCGGCCACACUGGAACUGAGACACGGUCCAGACUCCUACGGGAGGCAGCAGUAGGGAAUCUUCCGCAAUGGGCGAAAGCCUGACGGAGCAACGCCGCGUGAGUGAUGAAGGUCUUCGGAUCGUAAAACUCUGUUAUUAGGGAAGAACAAAUGUGUAAGUAACUAUGCACGUCUUGACGGUACCUAAUCAGAAAGCCGCGGCUAACUACGUG
rnacentral:rRNA from 1 species